GUCCUCGUUCAGCGCAAAGAACACCUCAUCUGAAAAAUACGACAUUUUCAUUUCUGUUUAAUAUCAAUUAAAUAGCUGUGAAGAGCCAAAAUAGUGCACGAGGGAAGAGGUAGUUGGCUGUGUGUCACUCCAAAGCACGAGGGAAGAGGUAGUUGGCUGUGUGUCACUCCAAAGCACGAGGGAAGAGGUAGUUGGCUGUGUGUCACUCCAAAGCACGAGGGAAGAGGUAGUUGGCUGUGUGUCACUCCAAAGCACGAGGGAAGAGGUAGUUGGCUGUGUGUCACUCCAAAGCACGAGGGAAGAGGUAGUUGGCUGUGUGUCACUCCAAAGCACGAGGGAAGAGGUAGUUGGCUGUGUGUCACUCCAAAGCACGAGGGAAGAGGUAGUUGGCUGUGUGUCACUCCAAAGCACGAGGGAAGAGGUAGUUGGCUGUGUGUCACUCCAAAGCACGAGGGAAGAGGUAGUUGGCUGUGUGUCACUCCAAAGCACGAGGGAAGAGGUAGUUGGCUGUGUGUCACUCCAAAGCACGAGGGAAGAGGUAGUUGGCUGUGUGUCACUCCAAAGCACGAGGGAAGAGGUAGUUGGCUGUGUGUCACUCCAAAGCACGAGGGAAGAGGUAGUUGGCUGUGUGUCACUCCAAAGCACGAGGGAAGAGGUAGUUGGCUGUGUGUCACUCCAAAGCACGAGGGAAGAGGUAGUUGGCUGUGUGUCACUCCAAAGCACGAGGGAAGAGGUAGUUGGCUGUGUGUCACUCCAAAGCACGAGGGAAGAGGUAGUUGGCUGUGUGUCACUCCAAAGCACGAGGGAAGAGGUAGUUGGCUGUGUGUCACUCCAAAGCACGAGGGAAGAGGUAGUUGGCUGUGUGUCACUCCAAAGCACGAGGGAAGAGGUAGUUGGCUGUGUGUCACUCCAAAGCACGAGGGAAGAGGUAGUUGGCUGUGUGUCACUCCAAAGCACGAGGGAAGAGGUAGUUGGCUGUGUGUCACUCCAAAGCACGAGGGAAGAGGUAGUUGGCUGUGUGUCACUCCAAAGCACGAGGGAAGAGGUAGUUGGCUGUGUGUCACUCCAAAGCACGAGGGAAGAGGUAGUUGGCUGUGUGUCACUCCAAAGCACGAGGGAAGAGGUAGUUGGCUGUGUGUCACUCCAAAGCACGAGGGAAGAGGUAGUUGGCUGUGUGUCACUCCAAAGCACGAGGGAAGAGGUAGUUGGCUGUGUGUCACUCCAAAGCACGAGGGAAGAGGUAGUUGGCUGUGUGUCACUCCAAAGCACGAGGGAAGAGGUAGUUGGCUGUGUGUCACUCCAAAGCACGAGGGAAGAGGUAGUUGGCUGUGUGUCACUCCAAAGCACGAGGGAAGAGGUAGUUGGCUGUGUGUCACUCCAAAGCACGAGGGAAGAGGUAGUUGGCUGUGUGUCACUCCAAAGCACGAGGGAAGAGGUAGUUGGCUGUGUGUCACUCCAAAGCACGAGGGAAGAGGUAGUUGGCUGUGUGUCACUCUACAACACACCAAAACAUUAAACACGUACAGUACUUUCUGACUCACCGUUGUCCGUGUAGCGCCUUCCAUAACAGUUGAAGCUGUGCUCUAUCAUCUCCCUGGGCAGGAGAAGGGGUUUGGAUGAGUAUUAAACAAAUACAUUAGUUCCCCACCACACACACACACACACACACACACACACACCUUUUAAUGUUGUCAUGACAAUUACAUGCAACAGAGAGCUCCCGCACACUUCGGUUCAAUGCACAUUUAAAGAUGUUUGUUGUCCCGAGCCUUUAGUCAAAUGUGGCCUUUGACAGAGCUGACAACAUGAUGACUAAGUAUUACAUCAAACUACUCUUCACUUUAUCAUUUUAUUUAACUAGGCAAGUCAGUUAACAAUAAAUUCUUAUUUAAAAUGACGUCCUACACCGGCCAAACCGGGAAGACACUGGGCCAAUUGUGCGCCGCCCUAGGGGACAGCCGUAACGUUGCCUAACUGC